UCAAACUUGGUCAUUUAGAGGAAGUAAAAGUCGUAACAAGGUUUCCGUAGGUGAACCUGCGGAAGGAUCAUUAUUGAAUACCAUUGGUUUAGGCUGUUGCUGGCUUGCAUUAGCAAAUGUGCACGUCUAUUCCAUAUUAUUUUAAUCCUCCAUGUGCACCAUUGUGUAGGCCUGGACCAACAACUCUCGAGGGGUUUUUGCUUUACUCUCGGUUUGAGAAACUGCUGUGUGUCAAGCCAGCUUUUUUUUUUUUUUCUUGCGGCUUCAGGUCUAUGUGUCAUUUUGUUUUGUCCGCUAUGGAAUGUAUGGAAAAGGAAAUGUUUCACAUAAUAUUUAUACAACUUUCAACAACGGAUCUCUUGGCUCUCGCAUCGAUGAAGAACGCAGC
rnacentral:misc_RNA from 1 species